CACGCGCCGGCCGUGGCUGCGGAUGGCCACGUGCCGGCCAUCCGGCGGCUCCCAGCGACCUACAAGGACGCCCGCGCCCUCCCUCAACCCUAGACGCCUCCAGAUCCCCCUGGCCUCCUCAUCCACUCCAACCCUUCUCCCUCUCCCUCGAUUUGGAGGAGAGGCCGCCGAGGCCGCUGCCGUGCCUCACUCGUCCCCACGACCACAGAGCCCCGUUCGCCUCACCAACGUGUUCGUCGUCUCCGCCAUCGUCUUCCUCGUCGUCCAGUGGCCUCAGCUGGAGCUGGGACGCACCGAAGCACCAGAUCCCCUUUGUCCUCAUCUCCGAUCGCCGCCGCUCUUCUCCGGCUCUGGCGAGGCCCUCUGCUUCCAUUAACCUGCUAAGGGCCUCCGUGUGAGCCGCAAGGUUUACAUGAAGAGGGAGAAUGCCGGCAGGUGGAAUUCCGGACUGGAAAAGGAGCAAAUAUUAGAGACCUAUUCUGCACAACUCCAAAAGUCCGGAAACUUCACGGAGAUUAGUUUUGGAAUAUAUUAAAAAUAUUUGGCGAAGAAAGCACCAGAGGGGGGCCACCAGUCAGCCACGAGGGUGGAGGACGUGCCCUACCCCCUGGGCACGCCCCUGCCUCAUGGCCCCCCUGGCAGGCCCCGACUCCCAUCUUCUGCUAUAUGGUGUCUUUUGCCCUAGAAAAAAUCAUAGAGAAGCUUUCGGGAUGAAGAGCCGCCGUCUCGAGGCGGAACCUAGGUAGGACCAAUCUAGGGCUCCGGCGGAGCUGUUCUGCCAGGGAAACAUCCCUCCGGGAGGGGGAAAUCAUCGCCAUCAUCAUCACGAUCGAUCCUCUCAUCGAGAGGGGGUCAAUAUCCAUCAACAUCUUCACCAGCACCAUCUCCUCUCAAACCCUAGUUUAUCUCUUGUAUCUGAUCUUUGUCUCAAAACCUCAGAUUGGUACCUGUGGGUUGCUAGUAGUGUUGAUUACUCCUUGUAGUUGAUGCUAGUUGGUUUAUUCGGUGGAAGAUCAUAUGUUUAGGUCCUUAAUGCUUAUUAAUACUCCUUUGAUUAU
rnacentral:rRNA from 1 species